rnacentral:rRNA from 1 species
UUAAGCGACCAAGCGUACACGGUGGAUGCCCUGGCAGUCAGAGGCGAUGAAGGACGUGCUAAUCUGCGAAAAGCGCCGGUAAGGUGAUAUGAACCGUUAUAGCCGGCGAUGUCCGAAUGGGGAAACCCAGUGUGAUUCGUCACACUAUCAUUAACUGAAUCCAUAGGUUAAUGAGGCGAACCGGGGGAACUGAAACAUCUAAGUACCCCGAGGAAAAGAAAUCAACCGAGAUUCCCCCAGUAGCGGCGAGCGAACGGGGAGGAGCCCAGAGCCUGAAUCAGCAUGUGUGUUAGUGGAAGCGUCUGGAAAGGCGCGCGAUACAGGGUGACAGCCCCGUACACAAAAGCGCAUGUGCUGUGAGCUCGAUGAGUAGGGCGGGACACGUGGUAUCCUGUCUGAAUAUGGGGGGACCAUCCUCCAAGGCUAAAUACUCCUGACUGACCGAUAGUGAACCAGUACCGUGAGGGAAAGGCGAAAAGAACCCCGGCGAGGGGAGUGAAACAGAACCUGAAACCGUGUACGUACAAGCAGUGGGAGCACAGGUUUACCUGUGUGACUGCGUACCUUUUGUAUAAUGGGUCAGCGACUUAUAUUCUGUAGCAAGGUUAACCGCAUAGGGGAGCCGGAGGGAAACCGAGUCUUAAUUGGGCGUUAAGUUGCAGGGUAUAGACCCGAAACCCGGUGAUCUAGCCAUGGGCAGGUUGAAGGUUGGGUAACACUAACUGGAGGACCGGACCGACUAAUGUUGAAAAAUUAGCGGAUGACCUGUGGCUGGGGGUGAAAGGCCAAUCAAACCGGGAGAUAGCUGGUUCUCCCCGAAAGCUAUUUAGGUAGCGCCUCGUGAAUUCAUCUCCGGGGGUAGAGCACUGUUUCGGCCAGGGGGCCAUCCCGGCUUACCAAUCCGAUGCAAACUGCGAAUACCGGAGAAUGUUAUCACGGGAGACACACGGCGGGUGCUAACGUCCGUCGUGAAGAGGGAAACAACCCAGACCGCCAGCUAAGGUCCCAAAGUCAUGGUUAAGUGGGAAACGAUGUGGGAAGGCCCAGACAGCCAGGAUGUUGGCUUAGAAGCAGCCAUCAUUUAAAGAAAGCGUAAUAGCUCACUGGUCGAGUCGGCCUGCGCGGAAGAUGUAACGGGGCUAAACCAUGCACCGAAGCUGCGGCAGCGACACUGAUGUGUUGUUGGGUAGGGGAGCGUUCUGUAAGCCGUUGAAGGUGUGUCGUGAGGCAUGCUGGAGGUAUCAGAAGUGCGAAUGCUGACAUAAGUAACGAUAAAGCGGGUGAAAAGCCCGCUCGCCGGAAGACCAAGGGUUCCUGUCCAACGUUAAUCGGGGCAGGGUGAGUCGACCCCUAAGGCGAGGCCGAAAGGCGUAGUCGAUGGGAAACGGGUUAAUAUUCCCGUACUUGGUGUUACUGCGAAGGGGGGACGGAGAAGGCUAUGUUGGCCGGGCGACGGUUGUCCCGGUUUAAGCGUGUAGGUGUGUGUUCCAGGUAAAUCCGGUUCACUUUAACACUGAGGCGUGACGACGAGGCACUACGGUGCUGAAGCAACAAAUGCCCUGCUUCCAGGAAAAGCCUCUAAGCCUCAGGUAACAUCAAAUCGUACCCCAAACCGACACAGGUGGUCAGGUAGAGAAUACCAAGGCGCUUGAGAGAACUCGGGUGAAGGAACUAGGCAAAAUGGUGCCGUAACUUCGGGAGAAGGCACGCUGACACGUAGGUGAAGUGGUUUACCCAUGGAGCUGAAGUCAGUCGAAGAUACCAGCUGGCUGCAACUGUUUAUUAAAAACACAGCACUGUGCAAACACGAAAGUGGACGUAUACGGUGUGACGCCUGCCCGGUGCCGGAAGGUUAAUUGAUGGGGUCAGCGCAAGCGAAGCUCCUGAUCGAAGCCCCGGUAAACGGCGGCCGUAACUAUAACGGUCCUAAGGUAGCGAAAUUCCUUGUCGGGUAAGUUCCGACCUGCACGAAUGGCGUAAUGAUGGCCAGGCUGUCUCCACCCGGGACUCAGUGAAAUUGAACUCGCUGUGAAGAUGCAGUGUACCCGCGGCAAGACGGAAAGACCCCGUGAACCUUUACUAUAGCUUGACACUGAACACUGGUCCUUGAUGUGCAGGAUAGGUGGGAGGCUUUGAAGUGUGGACGCCAGUCUGCAUGGAGCCAUCCUUGAAAUACCACCCUUUAAUGGCUGGUGUUCUAACGUGGGCCCGUGAACCGGGUUGCGGACAGUGUCUGGUGGGUAGUUUGACUGGGGCGGUCUCCUCCUAAAGAGUAACGGAGGAGCACGAAGGUUGGCUAAUCCUGGUCGGACAUCAGGAGGUUAGUGCAAUGGCAUAAGCCAGCUUGACUGCGAGCGUGACGGCGCGAGCAGGUGCGAAAGCAGGUCAUAGUGAUCCGGUGGUUCUGAAUGGAAGGGCCAUCGCUCAACGGAUAAAAGGUACUCCGGGGAUAACAGGCUGAUACCGCCCAAGAGUUCAUAUCGACGGCGGUGUUUGGCACCUCGAUGUCGGCUCAUCACAUCCUGGGGCUGAAGUAGGUCCCAAGGGUAUGGCUGUUCGCCAUUUAAAGUGGUACGCGAGCUGGGUUUAGAACGUCGUGAGACAGUUCGGUCCCUAUCUGCCGUGGGCGCUGGAAGAUUGAGGGGGGCUGCUCCUAGUACGAGAGGACCGGAGUGGACGCAUCACUGGUGUUCGGGUUGUCAUGCCAAUGGCACUGCCCGGUAGCUACAUGCGGAAGAGAUAAGUGCUGAAAGCAUCUAAGCACGAAACUUGCCCCGAGAUGAAUCUUCCCUGAGCCUUUAAGGCUCCUGAAGGAACGUUGAAGACGACGACGUUGAUAGGCCGGGUGUGUAAGCGCAGCGAUGCGUUGAGCUAACCGGUACUAAUGAACCGUGAGGCUUAACCUU